CCCAGAAGAGAGACAAAGAAUAGCUGCGUGUCUGCACGUCUCCUCAGGAACCGGUUCUUGGCGUGGUUUGAGCCCACGGCACGCCUUGACUCCCGACUCACCAAGCAGAGUCCACAUCGCAUUAGUAGAUUCCUGCUGGACCUUCAAGGCACUGGGCACAUUGGAGGGCAAAGUAAGAAAAUCCCAGUGUUUGGGAAAUGUUUAAAGGAAAGAGCCUGGGUGAAGAAGGAUCCAGGACCUAGGGUUGGCCCCAAAGGAGUGACCCCCACUGGGGACAGGCAGUGUGAUUCAUUGCUGCCAAGCAUGUCUGUCCUAGGAAAAGGGAACCUCAGGGUGGACAUGAGAACAACAGCCCUGGUCAUGGCUGUGACCUGGUUAUAAGUUAACUUUAUGGGUCACUGAAUGUCUGGAAACAGACUAUAAAAAGAAGAAAGGGUCACCCAAGAGCUUUGUGUUGGAAAUGGCUGUGACCAGUUGCUUCUGGAAGGGAGAUGUAUUGACCGCCAUAAAACUUGAUAGGCUCGGGGCUUGUCUGUUAAGGCUGGAAUCGGAAGUAAACUCUGGACCUAAGUAAUUGGUACAAAGCUGUGUUUAAGAGCAGAAGCAGAGGGGAGUUUAUUCCAACUAGUAAACAUAUGGAGUCCAACCAGUGCACACGAUGGUCCCUUCCUGGUGACCUCUAAUCCCACAGGACUUUCUUUGGGCCCAUUCAGGUUAAGAAAAUGGGUACAGUUUGACUUUUACCAUACUGGAUUUUUUUUUUAAAUCUCCUUAUUCUUGGAACAGCAAAGCAUUUAAAGUAAAA
rnacentral:lncRNA from 1 species